GCCUGGGUGGCUCAGUCGGUUGAGCAUCUGACUUCGGCUCAGGUCAUGAUCUCACGGUCCGUGAGUUCGAGACCCGCGUCGGGCU
rnacentral:tRNA from 1 species